GGGCGGGGCGGGGAGAGACUUGAACUUUUUCAUUUUAUUCCCCAAACCAUAUCCUCACCUAACAAGGAUGGUCAAGAGCCUCAAAACACAAACCCAGGUCACUGGAGUACAGGCUCAGUAACGGGGGGAACAGUUGAUUCAGGAAUGAAGCACCUAAAUUUAAAGUGUUUUUAUUGACAGCACUUUCGAGAUGACCAAAUCUCCUUGCUGAACGUUGGUAUCUAAUUUCUUGGAAAAACUUAAGAUUUUACCACAUACAGGUGAAAACUCAGAUGUUUUGGACUGAAUCCUGCUUCUGAAGAUGACUUCUUUUCUUCCAGGAAUCACAGUAACUCCGCUGAUGGUGGUUUACAUGCCUAGAACGGGAACGAGAUCUUUUCCGUUCUCCAGUGGCAGACCACGUGGCAAUUGUCAAGUACUCGAGGUUCCUGAAGCUAAGGCAGCUGUUUUGGAGGAGGCGGGGAGGAGGUAGCAGACGUCAAGGGAUCUCCAUCUCACGUUCGAUGCCCACGUACUUCAGGGCGUCGGCCUGGCUGUAUCUGAAACGGCAGGAGACAGGCAUGACCGCGGCCCACCGAGGUGAGAAUGAACACAACCACCCACUUACUUCAGUGGGUGCAGAGAAAGGCACACACAUCCAGUGACACCCAGCUGCGCCUCAUUCACCGCGUCCUCCCACUCCAGCACAGUGUGUCCUCGGGCGCUGUCCCACCUGCUUUGGGUCGUACCUUCAAAGUGACAACACACGGGCCCUAGUUUAUGACAACUCAGGACUCAGAGACGGAGCUUCUGACUGGGACGUAUAUUCAGCCACAGGAUUGAACUAGACAGUCAUCUGACUACAUUCAGGAAAGUUUUAAAUAGCUUGUCAGUUUAUCCCACAGAGCCUAACAGUGUAAACGGCCAACCUGAUACCAGACCUGUGAACACCAUCUGAGGGUGAGCAGGUAGGUUACUGGCCAACAGUCUUCCAGCACUGGACAAUUUAAGACAACCCGAGCAUAUCCUCAAGGACAGCAACACUGACUGCAUCAUGAUCACACCCAGCUCCUACCAGCAAGCCAAGGAUUAUCAGAACAUCUUAGGUACUACACACCUGCUUUUCAUCACAGCGCUCCCUCACCUCCCAAGAAAGCAGCACCAUUUAGCUGCUCAGUCCCUUGAGAACACCCAGGAAAUGUUGGAGAAGCUUUGAAAUUCAGUGCCUUCCCAGGUCAGAGGCACUAACUGGAGGAAGCGUGCCCAGCUGACUCCAGACCCUGGGAUGUCCCACAGCCAAUGUCUUGUGUAGCUCAGAGUUCCCGAGACCACUUCCCUUGAACAUGACCAGCUCCUCCCCACAAUUGCUGGCAACAGCCCAUUUUUAAGUUUCUGCCAGGGCAUGAGAAACACCAGCUCCCAAGUGCCACCCAGAAACUGAGUGCUCUGACUCCUAAACAUACCGUUAUUCAAGUUGAAGAGAAAGCUGCACAUGUAUUUAUCAUACACUUUGCCUCUUCUGUCAGCUUCAUCUUGAGAAAUUAUCUUAAGAAAGACAGUGUUGGAUUAGGGACCAAACCACACACACAAGUUCAUCAAGAGAAAUGGAGCCCUGGCCAGUUUGGAUCAGCGGUUAGAGCAUUGGACAGAAGGGUUUCGGGUUCGAUUCCCAGUCAAGGGCGUGUACCUCAGUUGUAAAUUCCCCAGCCCUGGUAGGGGCAAAUGCGGAAGGCAACCAAUCAAUGUGUCUGUCUCUCUUCCCUCCCUCCCACUCUCUAAAAAAGGAUGGAAAGAAUUAUCCUUGGGUGAAGAUUAAAAAAGAGAAAGAACCGGACCUUUCUGAGGAAACUCAAUCAAGGGUCACUAAGGCCAAUUUCUUUGGUCUGCAUGCGACAAAGAACAAUGGACUUGAAGGACUUCAACUCAGAAAUAUUUCCACAUCAAAGGAAUUACUCUUGAAGAAAUUAAUGGAUCUUUCUACUGAAUGAAAAACUCAAGCUAGCCCUAUGACUUUUCCCUAACUCUAUAACUGAAAAGGCGUAAGAUUAAUGACAUUCCUUUCUAGGUCCUUAUAACAAUGAGGCUGUGGAUCAUGUAGGACAGACUCAUCGCAAACCUCAUGUUCUUACCCCUUGUCUCCAGAUAAAGGCUAAAUGUGACUAGGACUGAAACAGUCCAGUUGCCAAAAAAGGCAUUUUGUGUUAAUCCAUUUCUAAUCAGACCCAGUGAUGAUCAAUACAAAACAAAGUCGCUACAUACCAAGCCCGGAGCUGGAUAGCUCUGGCCUUACCUCUCCACAGUAUUCCGAGAUGAAUUCAUUUUUCUGUACAGGAUCUUUGAUGAAAAUCCCCCAGCCAGCCACAUCAGAUGGUGCCAACAAUAAAUGCUAGAGAAUAAAGCAACAGUCAUUUAAUCAGGAGAGCGAAGUGGACUGGUGACGAGAUCACAGGGUGAAUCCCUAUAAAUCCUCUGGCCCCUUGUAGCCACCAAGUACCCUGAAUUAAGAGCCUGUAAUGAGAGGUAAACUUACCCACUUUUGCGAAAGGGGCUGACAAACUGCAAUGCUUUUGGUUAUUUGUAAAUAAAGUACAGAACAUAAGAUCUACCUCCCAGAAAAUAUCAACUAACCAUCCUUCAACAAGGUACCUACAACAGCUACCUUUGCACUUCCUGUCAUUUCUUCAGCACUUGACUUAAUGAUUCACUUCAACCAAAAACAAAGCUCAGCUGUUCCUCCCACAGCAGCUCCUCACAACAGCAUGGAGAACUGCCAAGAGGUGGUAUCACUCUCUCGUCAGCUUAGCAUUCUGUUCUUAGCAGAUGCCAAAUGGUGAGCAGGGCCAAUUCUAGUUAGAGUAUGUCUGGGAACAAAUCCCUCACUUUCCACCAUGGUUCAUUAUGCUUUCAUCCCAAAUUUCCUUUAAAAAGGCCCCUAAUUACCCAAGCUAUUCCUAUUCUAAUCCAGCCUAGAUUCACCUGCCAGGGAAAUUUCCCAAAACCUCCCAAAUCAGAAACUAAAUUAGCUAAAUAACAUGUUAAGUACAUGAAAGUAUCUACAGUUUUCAGAUUUAAACCAAAGGAGUUUAUGCUAUUACAGUUAGGGGUGGGGAGUAGGAAAUGAAAUUUUUUUAGGGUUCAUCAUCAGGGUCUGCCAUGGGAAACAGUAGAGAAUCAUUGUGACAGAAUGACCUCAAUGGAUAGGAACUACCCAGAGAAAAGCCAUCUAAACACUUGAAAACAUAAGAGCCAAAAAAUAAGGCACUACCAGAACAGGAACUCCUGGUAGGAGGGGGCGAGGCUAUGAGCAGUGCAGUAGUGUGAUCUAAUUCAUGUGACCCAAGGCAGAGGUCCACAGUGGGGCCUGGGGUUCUUGCUCCUUUCAAGUCCUCAAACUCUGGGAUUCCCAACCUAGAAAUGGGUUCAUAAGGGUACUCCCUCAUGGAGUUAUGAGGGCUAAUGAGUUAAUACACAGGGCACUUAGCCAAGUGCCUACUAUAUCUUAAAUAAUAAAUGCCAGCUAUUAUAAUAAAAAUGGUUAAUUGAAUAAACGCACCACCUACUCCAAGGAAAAGACACUGACCUUCCCCAGUAUACGCUGUUAGUUUCCUUUGCUUGGUCAUUAAGGUCACGGUUGCUACAAUUAAAAAAAUCACCUGCAUGCACUUCCCAGUUAUGUAAUUCCUGGCUGUGAUGUUUUCAAGGUUAUUAAAAGAACAGUCUGCAAAAACUACUGUGGGAAAUUUUAUCUCUUGUUCUGCACAGAAGGGAAAUUGGCUACUAUUUGAAAGAAUGGGUCUCUAUAUUCAGACAGAACACCAUUUAUUUGCAGGAAGGAGAAUAGAUAAAUGGCUAAUUCUAUUUGCUAAACUUAAAAAAUUCAAAUCAUCUACUAAACAACUAGAAAAACACCUCUUAUUCCAAACCUGAAACCAUUCACAGCUGGUUCCUCCUAUGCUACAGAGGUGGGAGUGGCUCCCCAAGGAGAAACUCAGGCUCUCCCCGUCAGCUGUGUCAUUCAUUCAGUGAUCACUUUUUGGCCCCAGCUAAUGGAGUGAGACCACUGGCCUUGCCCUGCCAUGUCCCUCAUCCCUUUCCCCACCUUCUUGGAGCCCCGCUGGAUGCUGCAGUUCUUGCAGGACACGUUCUUGCUGUCCCAGUGGUCAGCAGCUCCGCACGUCAGACACAGGUCAGGGUCGCACUCCCGGACGGCCAGGUAGCAGGGGCACUGCUUGGUGUUGCACUGUGCUUUGCAGCGGCAGCCAGGAAAGCGGUUCUGACCUGCAGAGACAGUCACCGUCGUGGACUCAUGGAACCCUCACAGCAGCCUCCCUAUCCUGCUGCACAGAUGAAGAAAAACUUCCUGUGUAUCCGAGCUUCAUGUGCCGCUUCAGUAAUAAUGAGUAUCACCACCCUUAUGACAAGUUCGUUUAUUCUGAAAACUGAACCACCCCAACUCUGACAAUACUGGUUCCCAGAAAGUAUUUGGGUAGCUAUUUCUAGAUUCCCCUUACAUUCUGUGCCGUCACUAUGAUUAAAUUUAAGCCACCAGAGACAAACAGCUCCUUUCAUCCCAUUAGCCUGAGCACUGGCUGGACACUGGCUCCGCAAGAGCCGCCAUGUUGUGUCAACUUCAGUUACUAUUUUUUUUGCAGGUUGUGGGCUGCACAUAGCUGACCAAAGGCCCACUUAAUUCUCAUGCAAUUGCAUCAAAGCAACAAAUACUUACACUCUGAACUACACUGACAAAACUUUUCACAAAAAUUCUGUGCUAUCACACAAGGGCACGAACUGUCACAAGGCUGCCGUGGAUGGUCACAGGGUUGGUAGUUGUAAACGUGGUUAGAGGAGCCGUCUGCAUCAAGACAACGGCAUGCAAGUCAAUCAGAGGUGGGAGAUGAUCAUACACAAGGAACAAGAACACAUUCUUCCCGUUACCUUGGAGCGUAGCAGGCUUUCCCUACCUGAUACAUAUUCCUGUCUACAAAAUGAUAGCCGAAAGCACCCCCCACCCCCAUCGCAGGUCCCCAGGGUGCGGCUCCUUUACCCACCUGUGACUCGCCUUCACUGCACAAGAGAACUGACUGGCAAUAUAAUCAACAGACAUCCUCCACUUAAUUUAGCUUAAUGUACAGAAGUCAAUUAUAUAGAAGUAUCAUAAACUCUAACCCCGUUACUAUUCUGAAACGAUAAGCAGACAUUUUUAAGUUGAAUGAAUAGAUAGAUGCCUACCUUUUUUCAGCUGUAUCUUUCUGCAGUGUGCAGCCCACAAUCUGCAAAACACAAAGAAAACAGUCUUCUCCAGGAAGCUAGGAAGAAUGGUCAGCACAAAUCCCACAGAACCUCCUUGAACAGGUCUAUCUGUGCCAUGAACAUAGGGGUGCCUUAAAUCCAAGUGACUGAAAGAUGCAGCUUGCAUUGCAUUUGUGGUGACUGGGGAAACAAUGACCAAGAGCCCUGAUGUGUGCACUUUGCAAGGUCACCUAGUCAGGACUGAGGGCGGCCACCCCUUCAUGUGCAGGUUCCAUUUCCCUACUGGUUCAUUCUGAUGUUGCUAAUACUGGCAUGUCUUUAAUCACUCAGUUGAGCUCCAUGGUCAGAAAUAAUUCAACCAAAAAAUUCCGAAUUACCUACUAAAGCCUGAAUUCUAUUGGAACACAUCUAAGUUCUUUCAGUUCUAAAUUAAAUGGAACAGCAUGUACACACGUUUCUAGAUGCUCCCUUACCAACACCCAACUGCAGAAAAACUGGGGAGAAGACAUUAAAGCUGACAGUCCAGCCGCCAUCUUCUGGCUCUGCACUUACAAACCAAGUCACCUCACUCACUGCCAUAGGCCUUGGAAAGGUAACAUGGCUCCUCAAAAUAUAAACCAGCGCAGAAGUCAUAUACAUCACACUCAAGCUCGGAAACAUCUUAGAACAAAUUAAAUGUUCGCUUAGCCUUUACUGCAAAAGUUACUAGGUUUGUCUCAACCAAAAGCAGCGGAGUAAGCAUAAUUUUUAUGACUCUUAAGACACAAAAUCUACUGACACUGCUGUAUUCUUACAGAAGAACAUCGGCAACUGCUCGUGGAAACAAAACUCCACAAGUCUACUUUUGAGGCAGCUCAAGUUCCUUUCUUAAUGGGCCAAGUAGAGGCUGCCCAACACCCUUGGACACACCUGGCCUGCAGCAUCCUGGUGACAUCUCAGAAUGGCUGCAAGUGGACUUACCGGUGUUUUCUCUUCUUCUUCCUUGGAGGAGUAUCGACAUCCUCAGCGGGAACUGGAGCUAUGAUGCUGGACUCUUUGACCCGAAACUCAUACACCUGGACAAGAGGCAUAGUCACAGCUGUGAGGAUCAUAGUGGUAUAACUGAUUUGAAAUAAUGGGUGAAGCCAGACCAAGCUUUGAACAAAGAAAAUUUAUCCU